rnacentral:sRNA from 1 species
UAUUUUGCCAAAACUACAAUACACUAUUUUAAAAAGACAAAAAAU